rnacentral:lncRNA from 1 species
CAGGUGCUUACCAUGGGGCUGCGCAGGUGGAAAGCAGCCCAGUCUUACUAUGAGGAUGUCCGUUUGCCAUCUGGGAACAAGGAGGAAGAAGCAGAGACCUGGGCAAGACCUCAGAGAAUAAAUUAUCUCAAUGGCUACUUACAUGGUCCAGCAUAGCAGAAAAAAAAGCCACACUGAGCAAGCAGUGGUCCUUUCCAUGCUACACAAGCAAGAAAUGCCUAUAAAGACAGACUUGAGUGCAGUCUAAAGAAUCUUUUGCUUUGCCUUAACACUCUACUUCUGGAUAUCCUUGCUCAAAAAGAAGUCUACUCAAGGUGUGUAUCUUUCCUCUUUAUAAGCCCUCUGGCCUCAGGAAGACUGGUUUCA